GGAGGAGACAGGCGUCUGCCGUUCCUCAAAGCCCGGAGGACGUUCCCGAGCGGGCCGCUGUCGUCCAGGAGGACGUUCCCGAGCGGGCCGCUGCCGUCCAGGAGGACGUUCCCGAGCGGGCCGCUGCCGUCCAGGAGGACGUGCCAGAGGUUCCCGAGGCGGGGCUCGAGGUGGUUCUGGAGGCCGAGGCGGUGCCCGAUGCUGUGCCCGAUGCCGAGGCGGUGCCCGAGGCUGUGCCCGAUGCCGAGGCGGUGCCCUUGUCUGAGGCCGUUCCCGAUGCCGUUCCCAAUGCCGUGACCUGGCCAUCGCCACAGCCUGCUCCUUACUGGCUCCCCGAUUGGCAGGUUCCGUUCGGGCCACUCAAAUGGCGAAUUCCUCCCUGGCCGUCUGCACAACGAGAAUGGACUGAUCCACCGUGGCCACCUGAACUGCCUGGCCCCUCGUGGUCCCCUGAACUUUCGGGUCCACCGUGGCCACCUGAACUGCCUGGUCCCUCAUGGUCCCCUGAACUUUCGGGUCCACCGGGGCCACCUGAACUGACCGAGCCACCUGGGCUGCCAGGGGAACCAUCGCUGCCGGUCCCAGUUCCCCUACACGGGCCUGGCCCGCCAUCCC
ensembl:lncRNA